CAGUCGCCGCGGGAAUACAGAGGGUGCGAGCGUUAAUCGGAUUUACUGGGCGUAAAGCGUGCGUAGGCGGCUUCUUAAGUCGGAUGUGAAAUCCCUGAGCUUAACUUAGUAAUUGCAUUCGAUACUGGGAGGCUAGAGUAUGGGAGAGGAUGGUAGAAUUCCAGGUGUAGCGGUGAAAUGCGUAGAGAUCUGGAGGAAUACCGAUGGCGAAGGCAGCCAUCUGGCCUAAUACUGACGCUGAGGUACGAAAGCAUGGGGAGCAAACAGGAUUAGAUACCCCAGUAGUCCCUGUCUCUUAUAC
rnacentral:rRNA from 1 species